UACGUAGGGUCCGAGCGUUGUCCGGAAUUACUGGGCGUAAAGCGCGCGUAGGCGGCUUUGCAAGUCGGGUGUGAAAUCCCCAGGCUUAACCUGGGAACUGCAUUCGAGACUGCAUUGCUAGAGUAUGGGAGAGGGAAGUGGAAUUUCAGGUGUAGCGGUGAAAUGCGUAGAUAUCUGAAGGAACAUCAGUGGCGAAAGCGACUUCCUGGACCAAUACUGACGCUCAUGUGCGAAAGCGUGGGGAGCAAACAGG
rnacentral:rRNA from 1 species